AGUACAGCUGCUGGGCUAGACAGCGAGUAGCCGGGCUAUGGAAUCUCUGCAGGAAUAAACGCAUUCUUUUCUAAAGCCCUCCCACCCCAGGGAGCCCACACCCCAUGCUCUAGAUCUCCCGGGGAGCCUGCUGCUGCUUAUCUAAACAACUCACAAAACAUCAGAAUGAAAAUCCAGCCAGCAAAUGCAGUUUCUCCUGGAAUAGAAGCGUCGUCCCCUGAAGGUGGCCGGUGAGCUGGGCUUUGCCUGAUCUUUCCAGCAGGCUCUGGAAGCCGUGCCUCUGAAGGGAACAGCUCAGGUCUUGCUAUGGUAUUCACCCCUGUAGUCUGAUUACCUCGCUCGUCUCCUCCAUGGUAACCUGUGAUACUACCCCAACAGAGACACUGGGAUGUGCAUAUCCCUUGAGAUUCCUGGUAAACGUCCAGCCCAAACUUUAUUCCUCUGUUUGAGACUAUGCCAGGCAGACCAUAAAUGUCACAGCUCCUGGGGAUUCCAUUGGGUCUCCUUGGAACAAAUCUUUGUCCUCGUUCCCAGCUGAAAGGUGACCUCCGGCGUGAAACUGGAUGAGUAUCUGCUUGUUUAUCUGCAAAAGGGGAGUCAUGAGGUCCCUACACCAUCACACGCUGUGAGGAUGAAAUGGAGUUGGCACAAGGCACCUAACUGCAGGCUUACCUAUGCUGUUCUUACCAUCAUCGUAUCCAGUAGUAAGAUGACUCCCAAGUCACCCUCCCACUCAGGAGAGCUUGCCACCUGCCAAUCGCAGGCAUCGCCGCGUUUUUCAGCUUUUUUGCAAUCAAUCUCAGGGACAGCUCCAGUGGACUUUGGCAUACACGUGGAUCUUCUUCUAUUUCCCAACUUUAACUUACUGUCUCAUUUCAAGAACUCUCUCCCUUCAGUUCCCCCUCCAUAAAUGAAGGAAAGGAUAAAAGAUUGAACCUCAGAAAAACACAAUGCCAGAAGACACAAUGUUUGGACCUUUUAACUCUGUUUUUACAUUUUUAUGUUGAGACAGUUUUUUAAAAAAAAUUUAAUGUAUCAUCAUCGUCGUGUGUGUGUGUGUGUGUGUGUGUGUGUGUGUGUGUGUGUGAGUGAUGUGUUGUGGGGGGUCCGUGCAUACUUUAGCAUGUGUGUGGAGGUCAGAGAACAGUUUUCAGGGUAUCAGUUCUCAUUCCAUGUGGGACCCUGGGAUCAAACUCAGGAUGUCAGGUUUGCAUGGGCCCAGCCACAGGCUUUAAUAAUUUACCCAGAAGUGCCUUGAACUCACUGUGUAGCCAGGCAGGCUGAGAACUUGGGAUCUUUGUGCUUCAGCCUCUUUAGUAGCUAAGAUCACCAGCUUGUAUAUCUGCUCAAAUACAACAUCCUUUCUCUGAGAAGAUGCAGGACUACUGAGUUUGCACGAAAAUAUACACAGAAGUUACUUCCUCCAGAAACUCGACUUUGACUCCAAUCUUACCUACAGCUUUGGUGGCUGCCCACACCCAAUAGCCUGUGGUAUUAAAUGCUCUUCUUAUUUCAAUGACAA
rnacentral:lncRNA from 1 species